GCCCUACAGAAGGAAGGGGGCGGGACCAGAGGCCCCGAACCUUUGAUCCAACCUUUGGGCUUCUGCCACGUUGUGUGACGUAAGCGAGCAUCUCGCACCUGAAUCAGAGGCAGCAGGGACGCAAAAACGUCCCCACGGAGAUGUCCAACAAGAUCACAGCAUUCAAGCCUAAAAGUGACCUAUGGAAGUCCUAACUGGAUCAGAACCAUCUCGCCCACUUUCCUGGUUGUCAGAGCAUCAAAACCUGAAGCCAGACCUAAACUUUAAUCUACAAGAGUUCAUAGCGGGUCACCGCAGGGCUGCAGGCUAACGGCAUUAGCAUAAACUCUACUACUCUCUGGUGGAGCACUGUAGCCGGAGAGCUAAAUGCUAACAUGUCAGCUUGGCAUUAAAUAGACUGUUUCGGUGUGAGUUGUUAAUCCAGAGUAGGUAUUUUAAUCCCAGAUGAGCACCGACCACUAAAUUUAAAACAAGCACAUCCUAAAAGACUAAAAGUGAAUCAAGACACGAAGAGUUAACAAGUAUUUUUAUUAAUAAAGUAACUUUAUCAGAUUCCAUUGACUUUAUUAUGAUGCGUUCAAGCUCUACUCUGUACAAAUGAGUGCUGAGUGAAGGUAAGAUCAUAACAGUCAUAGAGCGUUUAUUUUAAUCUCAAUUUGAAGUGAAAAACUUGUGUCAGGGAUGUUGCGGGAAGCAGGAUUCAAACGCAGACUUUGAGAAAAAAAAAUCCUUUAAUAGUCAAAAGGCAGGCAGGAACUAGAGACAUUCGACAAUGACGCGACAAGUAAAUUGAGACACACACGGCAUAAAUACACUAGGGAGGUGCAGGUGAUUGGACACAGGUGGAAACAAUCAGACAAUCACAGGGGAUGACAGGACAAGGCAGGAAGUGAAGUUACCCAGGGAGACAAGAUGCAGAAACUACAAAAUAAGACAGGAAAUAAAACCACACCGUGACAAUUUGAAUAAAUCCAGAGGUUUGAAGUUACAGAUAAAAGGAAAUAAUUCUCAUUAUAUAAUUAUUAUCAUUAAAACUAGAAAUUGAAGACAAUGUCUUUCUUCAAAGCAAGGGAUUUACUUUUUUCUAUGACAUUUUAGACAUAGUUUUACUUUUCUGAAAGAAUGUCUCAUAUAUUUAGACUUUUUUUAUUUUUGACUUCCUCAUAUAUUUGGAUUUUCUUUUAGAAUAGAAAUGUGUCCCAAUAUGUUUUGACUUUUUUUUCCAAAUUAUUUUUGACUCAAUAUUUAUUUAUUAUUACAUGUUUUGACGUAACAUUGUUUUGAUUCCUUUUUUGACAUCGUAUUUUUUGAACAUCCAACCCGACAGAAAACAGCUCUUUUCUUCUCGGCUCAUCCUCAGAACUCUACUUUAAGUUCUUCCGCAUCUUUUCUCUUUAAACC
ensembl:lncRNA